GAUGAACGCUAGCGACAGGCUUAACACAUGCAAGUCGAGGGGCAGCGGGGCGAGAGCUUGCUCUCGCCGCCGGCGACCGGCGCACGGGUGAGUAACACGUAUGCAACCUGCCCCCUGCAGGAGGAUAACCGGGAGAAAUCCCGACUAAUACUGCAUAACGCGGCGGAGGGACAUCCCUCUGCCGCCAAAGGAAUUUAUUCCGGCAGGGGAUGGGCAUGCGGCGCAUUAGCUAGUUGGCGGGGCGACGGCCCACCAAGGCGACGAUGCGUAGGGGUUCUGAGAGGAAGGUCCCCCACACUGGUACUGAGACACGGACCAG
rnacentral:rRNA from 1 species